rnacentral:tRNA from 1 species
GCCUCUUUAGCUCAGUCGGCAGAGCGUAGGUCUCAUAUCCAUUCUCAGAGC